UCACACAUAUCCUUAGAGAAUGAGCUUGCCAGUUUAAGGCCUGUCUGUAAUGACACCUGAGUGGUCAGCAGCCCAACUGUGUUCUGCUCCAGAAACAUCUGUGUGGCUUUCCUAGUUCCACACCAAGGAGCUGCCCUGCUGCUGGGUGGAUGUAGAAACUGUCCUGCCAGGGUUUCCCGCUAAAGGCAUUAACAAAUCCAGUGGGCCACAGAGGGCCCAAUCCCCCUUGGCCACUAAGGCUAAGGUAGGAGCUGGAGAGCUGUAGAGACAGUACCACCAGGAUGCUUCAUCUCCGUGACAAAGGAGAGUGCUGCAUUGUCUGGGGGCCAGGGUUCACUAUUAUGAAGAAAAAUGAGGAGCAGGAUGCACGUUAGUCUUUAAUUCACUUUUAAUAGUAUAAACCUCAUUUAGGUAGUAGUAUUAAGCCACAACAAUAAUGCCACAUUGAAACAGCAUUUAAUAAAAUGCAUAAAGCUAAUUCAUGCACUGCAAUACUCUAUAUACAAACACAACAAUGCAAAUUCUUCUUCAAGACUGAAGACAUUGAUUAGAUAUAAAAUUCAGUUUAAAAACAACAUGCUAUUUUUUAAAUGCCAUCACAUAAACAAAGUGAUUUCACAGGGAGAAGAAAGCUGUAUAAAGCUGCAGCUCUCAACAGGUUUUAAACCUGGCAUUAAAAUGUAAUGGCAUAACCAAUAUUUUUUAUAUUGUGAAGGGCAGAGGUUACAGAAACGGUCCCAAGAAAAUCUAACACCCAAAUUUUCCUUUGAUAGAUGCCUUUAAAAGGGCUGGUAAUGCAGUUACAUUCUAACAGAGAAGUCCAAACUACAAGUAAAAACUACAGCUUGUACUGUGAAAAAUGUGCAGCUUUUCAGUUAUAAAACUAGUUGAACACUGGUUUACAAGAUAAUCUGUAGAACAGAGAGACUGUAGAAAAAUAUUCCAGCACUUGAGUUGUGUGUGGCAGCAGCAUUUGAGUCCAUGAAUGCUAUGGUUGUUAAAAUAAUUGAUUAUACUUUCCUAAAGAAAAGCCAUUUUUUUAAUGUAAAGUCUACUACUUCCAAAUGUUAUCCAAACACUAAACUUUAACAGUCUAUCAAUCAAUAAAUGUUGAGCAUUUUUUUCUAUGUUGCAUGUACAAAUACCAAGACACCAAAAUUAUUGGCUUCUUAACUGAAAGUAUAGCUGGGCAUUAAAAAUAUAUGACGUUUUUCUCCCCCGCAAAGAUACCUUUUUUAAGCUCACAUUUUGGUUUUAGAUUGCUGUUAAGAUAAAUAGCCCCAAAGGAAAUUUUUUAUUUCAAUUCAUUUAGAGACUGUGACGCUUCUAUUUUCAUUUUAAGUAGAAAGCCACUUCCAAUAGUGUGAUUGUCACGACAGGCUAUGACAGGGAAAGGUCGUACAAUCUUGUGGGAUGAGGCCAAUGAAGUAGCAGAAGCUUUCUCUACAUCAAAAACAGGGAAGCUGAAGGCUAAAUAACCCACUGUCUCACAAAAGGCACUGAGUACUAUGGUCUCAUAAAGUGUGUUUAACACAUUUCAAUAACUUAUUUUUAAAAGAAAAAGAGCAACCUGUGGAUUAUGUGAGUUUUUGCAGUGAUCCAGUGAUUCCUUCCAGCAGGCCCCUGCUUCCCAGGUCCAUGAGCACUACUGCUGGGCCGGGCCCUGGCUCUCUAGGGCUGAGUCUCACCAAGUCUCAGUUUAAGGCCAGAUUAAGGGGUAAAAUUCAUCAGAAUAGACCUGGACAAGGAAAAUUUGGUAUCUGUAGCUUUAAGGACACACAUACCCAUAUUAAAAUGUAAUUUUUAUCUGAAAAUUUAAAAUCAUAAUUUACAGAAAGGAAUUAAGUCUGUGGAUUUCAUUCACAUGCUUACAGUUAGAGAAGUAACUUGCGAUUUGUAGCUUAUAUGGCACAAAGGUUAGCCAUCAAUGUCCAUGCUUAAUUUUAAAGAAUACUUGGUAGGUUAUUUUUAAUUGGCGAUAGAUAGAUGGGAAUUUCUAUUUGUUUACUCACAGGACAGUACCCAAAAUCUUGCUGACUGAGCACAGAGCAAGCCUGGAACAUUGCUACCAUCUUUGGGAGUCAGGCCUCACUUACACAGAGCGUUCUGAAUCUUUGACCAUAAUGCCUGUCUCUGGGCUGCUCAAUAGAGCUGAGUAGCUGGGAAGGCUGAUGGCUCAACUCAACUGCCAAGUUCCUUCCAGGUGUGUGGUGUGCACUAUAGACUGGCUCCGGUGAUCUGGCCAUUAUACUCUGCUGUCUCCAUCUUGAGGAUGUAGGGGAUUAUGCUGUCUAUCGAAACAUUGCCAAUGAGACCGGUAAAAAAAAGUUCUUCUGUUAUGUUGGAGCUCAUCAGCCUGAGUGCCGGCAGGCGAACGAGGAUCCUGGCCAAUCUGUAAAAGAGAGAGUCAUUGGAAAAGGAGACUAUUUGAUACCCUUCAACCACAGCUCAGCACAGGCCCCUGGGGCCCUGUCUGAACUGCACAGAAUCAAACCAAAUGCAUCCAUCUACCCACCUCUCUUUUCUGAUUUCAACAGUUCCUUUUAAAGAAAUUUAUCAUGAGAAAAAACCAAACAAGUGAGUACAAAAUGUAUGUACACCCAAGACACCUCUGUUCCAUGGGGCUCCUGCAGACUGAGGUCUGUGCAGGGGACACACUUUGGGGAAGGUGGGCCUGUGUGUCUUCCCAUGCUGUCAAUUUUGUUCCAAUGUUUAUUUUAGGGGGAUAUGAUGGGGAGGGAAAUACUUUACUUGAAAGGGUCUCACAAAUUCAUGUAGCUUCCGUUAGGUCAGAAGCUGUCACAGGAAAGCAUUCUUCCAUCCUUGACUGAAAAGCCUGUCAAUGCAUUCUGCCCUUUGGCAGAUCUGAAAACUUUCCUGUCUAAAUCUCCAUGAGAAAAGCUAAUUUAUAUAUAUAUAUAUGGCUACACAUUCAUUACAAAUAAUAUCGUUAAUUUUCACCCAAAUAAACUUUUUUCCAUCAGUUUAUCUGAAGGUAAAAUGACUUUAUACAACUCAUACACUCCUUUAUAGGGGUCAGGUUUGAUUUCUGUCAAUGAGAACUUUUCUGUCAAGUACUCUAGCACUGCUGCUUCAAUGGAUACUGACCAGAGGAGCAGACCUUUCAAACUAUUCUGGAUAAGGCAAUCUCCAUGAGAACUCAAACCUCAUGUACAGUGUUAGCCCCGGAACAAGCCAUACAGCAUCUGCUCCAACUUUUCCAAUUAAAGAAUAGCAAUCUGAGGCCACAGUCACAGUCACACAGCAAUGCCAUAAUCAGCCGCAGUCCUGGCCCUCCUGCUGGCACUCUCUAUGCCGCCUCUAGAAUUCAAGAAUUCUCUCUAGCUCUUGGGAGCUUGGAAAAAAA